AAACUUUCAACAACGGAUCUCUUGGUUCUGGCAUCGAUGAAGAACGCAGCGAAAUGCGAUACGUAAUGUGAAUUGCAGAACUCAGCGAACCAUCGAAUCUUUGAACGCACAUUGCGCCCGCCGGUAUUCCGGCGGGCAUGCCUGUCCGAGCGUCAUUG
rnacentral:rRNA from 1 species